rnacentral:lncRNA from 10 species
AGAAAGGAACGUCCUCAUCAUCUCACCAUUAACCACCUGUAUCUGUGCUCAUGUUCUUGCCUCCUGUCCUAUGAAGGUAGAGGUGCUGCUGAAACUUUCACCUGAGAGGAGGAUUUCAGAUUUCUCGAUUCUGCCCCCGCAACGAGUUGCUUCUCUUCUUUCUCUGCACAGUCUUCACUUUCAUGAAGCCAAAUGCCUCCUUGCAAUUCAGCUCCUGGUUUUGAGUGUGUAAGGAAGACACACGCUUCUCGUGAAAUUCUGGAGAAUGUCUCCGGACUGCGUGGGAAGCUUAUGAACCAGAGGUGCCUGUACUGACAGAAGCCUGUGAGCAAAGAGGGUUCCGAGAACUGGUUAGCUCUUUCUAGCCGGGAAUAUUAAGCUGUAAAGAACAAGGAAAUGGAGGGAGCAUUCACAUAUGUACUGCAGUUGGCAUGGGGGUCUCCUUGGAGAGGCUUCCUGUGGGCAACUAUGGGUGCAUUCAGUAGGGACAUUUAGAUAACUAAGAUGAGCCCUGGAACAACCAAAAUAGAGUCAAUGUAAUAAAACACUCUCUGAUUCUGGGACACGUCCCCCUCGUCUCUGAAAGGAAACACUUGGCUUCAGUUUGGCUCAGCAAUGUAACACCUUUUCUCCCGGCUUAGAACCAGCUCUUAGCAAGCAGAGUGGGUGGCUUUUGUGUGAUACCAUGGGCACUAGUAACGCCUCAGGCUGAAGUCCCGGCCUGAUAGGUUAUGCCCUUAACCUUCUAAAACCAGAAACGAGAGGAAAGAAACCACAGAAGGAAACUGUAGAAACUCAACCCCAGGGGAGGCGAGCAUUACCUUCAUAAUUUAUUGCAAACAGUGCCUAUUUUGUUUCCAAAGUGUUUUAAAUUAAACUUAGUUGUGUAUCAUUUGGAAUGUAAAUAUUCAUCCUCAAAAGUGAGUAGCAGGGAGUAUGGACUGUCUGAGUAACCACAGUGUGUGUGUCUGAGCUUUGUGACAAGUCUACUAUGCCUUCUUGAUGCUGGGCUACAAUUAAAGCAUGUUCUAAAAAAAGUAAAAAAUGCACUUAGAUGUUAGUAAGUAUGAGCUAAGUAAUUUUGGAAACUUUGGUGUGCAUUUUAGAGAUUGAGAUUUUCAUUUACAUAUAUCAGUUGAUUCUUCAGAAGCAAUUUAAAUAACUUAAGACUGUUUUUUAAACAUAAUCUUAUCUCUAAAGCCCAAGGUAGAGGUCAAAAUGCAAAUAUUUGAGGCUGUGAUGUGAUGGUCACUAUGUAUCCAGUUUGUAAUCCUCCAUAUAACUGAUGUAUUAGUAUUUUAUCUAAACAUCUUGCUGUGGGUAUGUGAAGCAGGCCCACAGAACAGAACUAAUGAACACCUGAGACCGUGCCAGUGUGUUCAUUUAAAAUGCGCUGCACCUUGUUCUGACACUCGAUUUGUUGUAGAUAUUUGAUCCUCUUGAGGCUUGCUUUUAAGCUCUGUUAGGGUGGGGCCAGAGGAGUUUUUAAUCCAGGAUUAAUUUCUCACCUUAGUAGUGCCCCACUAUGGAGGAGAAACUUCUGAGGACUCUACCCGAGGCCCACGUAUUACAAAGUCUUUUCAUUCCGGCUGGUGGACACGGACUCUGUUUCCAGCCCGCGUGAGCUCCAAGAAUUGCUUGGCCUGAGGCUUUCCAGAUUUCUUUCUCCCGUGCAUUUGCUGAAUAGUACUCAGCCAAAGAGCAUGUGCAGCCUCCAGCACCCUGUCUUCGUGCAACUCUCCUCUCUCUCUUAUUCUUUCUCAUACAUUUUAGACGACCCCGCCUCAUUGAACCUCAGUCUCUGUCCCCUCAAUUCAAUGAGACUGACAGGCUCCCCCUGCUGGGCUGCAGCCUGAGCACUCUGUCUAGGCAAGAAGAAGCUGGAGCAAUCACAGGUGUCUCAUCACUUUCCCCUUCUCUCAGGCAUCUUGGGCCUGCACAUCUGCUGGCCAAUGCCCUAAACGGUUAUUUUUCCAUAUGUUUUGAUAUUUUGCCUGUUUUUCUAGUUGUUCAUGGUGGGAGGACAAUUUCCAUAACAGUAAUCCUUUGUGGGCAGACAGAGAAUCCCGUCUAGCGUAGUUUUGCAUUUGCUUCCCUGAGGCCCCGGACCUCGACCAUUUUUAUGGGAAUUCUUGGCUUGAGAUUGUUACCAUGUGGUGCUGUAAAUUUGCACCCCACAAACAUGCAGUACUAGUUUGAGGAAUCCAUUAAAUUUUCUUCCAUCCAGAACCGCCCCCAGGCAGAUGGAAAGCUUCUGUAUAGCUUCUCUAUGUCAGUUGGUGAUAUUUUUACUAUUCCCAUUUUUGUUUUGACUAAGCCACUCUUUGUGCAUCUCAGAUUUGUGCAGGCAUCUUGGGUACCAACUCACUACCUUGAACAAUCCAGGUCUACAUCUCUCAUUCUGGCAUGUGUAUUAAAACUCCAGUCCCAGAUCUUAGAGGCUAUAUCUAGGCAAAAAUUAGUAUUUCUGCAUUAUGUAGGCUGUGCAUAUUUGAUUUUCAUGUACUUGAAAUGUCUUAGCCUAGUGACUAAGUCCAAUUUUUUUUUUUUUUUUUUGACAGAGUAUCACUCUGUCUUCCAGGCUGGAGUGCAGUGGUGCAAUCACAGCUCACUGCAGCCUUGACCUCCCAGGCUCAAGCGAUCCUCCUGCUUCAGCCUCCCGAGUAGCUGGAACUACAGGCUCGUGCCACCACCCCCAGCUAAUUUUGGAUUUUUUGUAGAGAUGGGCUUUCACCAUGUUCUCCAGGCUAGUCUCAAACUCCUGGGCUCGAGUGAUCCUCCUGCCUGGGCUUCCCAAAGUGCUGGGAUUACAGGUGUAAGCCACUGCACCCAGCCUCCAGCUUUGUGAUUCCAAUGUAAAAUGUUUAAUUGACUGUGAUUUUAUGUUCAUCUUACUAGGUUUAUAUACAAUAUGAGAAUAUUUAUGAAAACUCCAAAUUUUCUGUAUUUAUAUACUUAGUUUAGUAGAUAAAGUUAUUUAAGUUCUUGAGACAGUUUUGUUUAAGUCAGACAAUAGUAGUCCUUAAAGUGGAGAGAAAAUAUAUUAAUUUAUAAAUAAAGCUUAACAAAUUAAAGGGAAUUAAGUUAUGCUAUAAAAAGCAGCCUUAAACUUAAUGUUCUUCAAUAGUCAGAUUUUUAAAUGGAAAAAUAAUGUUUUAAAGUUGAACUUC